CCUACGGGCGGCAGCAGUGGGGGAUAUUGCACAAUGGGGGGAACCCUGAUGCAGCGACGCCGCGUGGGUGAAGAAGCGCCUCGGCGCGUAAAGCUCUGUCAGCAGGGAAGAAAAUGACGGCACCUGAAGAAGAAGCCCCGGCUAACUACGUGCCAGCAGCCGCGGUAAUACGUAGGGGGCAAGCGUUAUCCGGAUUGACUGGGUGUAAGGGGGGCGGAGACGGGGAUGCAAGCCAGGAGUGAAAGCCCGGGGCCCAACCCCGGGACUGCUGUUGGAACUGCGUGGCUGGAGUGCAGGAGGGGCAGGCGGAAUUCCUGGUGUAGCGGUGAAAUGCGUAGAUAUCAGGAGGAACACCGGUGGCGAAGGCGGGCGGCUGGACUGCAACUGACGUUGAGGCCCGAAAGCGUGGGGAGCAAACAGGAUUAGAUACCCUUGUAGUC
rnacentral:rRNA from 1 species